CCUACGGGGGACUGCAGUGGGGAAUAUUGGACAAUGGGGGGAACCCUGAUCCAGCCAUGCCGCGUGUGUGAAGAAGGCCCUCGGGUUGUAAAGCACUUUCAGUGAGGAAGAACGCCUGGUGGUUAAUACCCAUCAGGAAAGACAUCACUCACAGAAGAAGCACCGGCUAACUCCGUGCCAGCAGCCGCGGUAAUACGGAGGGUGCGAGCGUUAAUCGGAAUUACUGGGCGUAAAGCGCGCGUAGGUGGCUUGAUAAGCCGGUUGUGAAAGCCCCGGGCUCAACCUGGGAACGGCAUCCGGAACUGUCAAGCUAGAGUGCAGGAGAGGAAGGUAGAAUUCCCGGUGUAGCGGUGAAAUGCGUAGAGAUCGGGAGGAAUACCAGUGGCGAAGGCGGCCUUCUGGACUGACACUGACACUGAGGUGCGAAAGCGUGGGUAGCAAACAGGGUUAGAUACCCUGGUAGUC
rnacentral:rRNA from 1 species